rnacentral:rRNA from 1 species
AGCAUAUCAAUAAGCGGAGGAAAAGAAAAUAACAAUGAUUCCCCUAGUAACGGCGAGUGAAGAGGGAACAGCCCAAAUUUGAAAUCUGGUAGCUUUACAGUUGCCCGAGUUGUAAACUGGAGAGGCAAUGUUCGCGCUGGACCAUAGCAAAGUUUGCUUUAAUGCAACGCCAGAGAGGGUGCUAGCCCCGUUUGUACUAUGGAUGCCCGGUGCAUAGAACAUGUCUUCAAAGAGUCGAGUUGUUUGGGAAUGCAGCUCUAAUUGGGUGGUAAAUUCCAUCUAAGGCUAAAUAACGGCGAGAGACCGAUAGCAAACAAGUACCGUGAGGGAAAGAUGAAAAGCACUUUGGAAAGAGAGUGAAAAAGCACGUGAAAUCACUGAAAGGGAAACGCUUGAGGUUAGACGUGCGUGGUACAAAUCAUCCAUACGUAUGUUUGGUGUAUUUUGUUGCCAAUGCAGGCCAGCAUCGGUUUAGUGUGCUGGAUAAGGGUCAGGGGAAAGUAGCAAUUUCUUCGUGAAAUUGUGUUAUAGACCUUGACUUGAUACAGCGCAUCAGACCGAGGAACGCAGCAUGCCAUUUUGGCGUGGUCCUUUUGGCGUGAUCCUGAGGGACCAUAUGUGCUUAGGAUGCUGGCAAUAA